ACCCAUGAAUCAUUGAGCACUUUCAUGCUCAGCAUGAACAACCGUGAGGCAUUGCGAGCAUUUUCAUGCUCAGCAUGAACAACCGUGAGGCAUUGCGAGCAUUAUCAUGGUACGUACAGGAGCCAAUGGCGGAUUUAGGCACGUAAACGCUAAUAAGUAAAGAGAAAGUUAGUCGGAAGCUGAUUCUUAUUGAAAUUUUUAAUAACUUGGAUAUGUGAGUUAUAGUUGACGCUCGUAGAUUACAAUUUAUGUCUUCCAAUGACUUCUACAUCUACAUCGUAUAGUCUUUUGUACGACAGUGUUGUGUCCACCACUACAUCACAGGGGAAUACCAAGAAGUUCAGAAAGUCUUUCAUGUUGUUGACAAAGUUGCUGUAGACUGUGUUGUUUGUGUCAAAAUUAUAAGUCUGCUUAACAGCAUUGGAUGUUUUCUUUAAAACAACCACUGGUGAAACAGUAUGUGGAAAGUGCUUAUCUGAGUAAAAAAGUAGCUCGUGUUAAGGCUCAUACAUUGUACCAAUUAUUAUGCUGUUACAGGACUGAUAAUAUAUUCUUGAAAUAUUUGUAGAAUGGAUAGCAUAUAGAUAGUUCUGUAUCACAAUGUUUCUUUUUA